GGUCGCCAUCUUAGUAGCUCGCCUUGAGGGACUAAUUGAAGGAAAACCGGGACGUUCCGGGAAAAUACGCCUCUUGCUUUUGCAUUAAUCUGCGUCUCGGUGUCUCACUCCGGGGCAUCUCGAAGUAAGUACCACUGACUGAGUUAGGGUCGUGGGGGUCUUACAGUGCCAUGCGAAUCUGACUCAAAGACAUUAUACUGAGUGCAAGAGGGGUAGUGUGCAAUAUAAGUAAUGUAUAAAUCCGUUGUAUGAACUCACUAGAAAAGUAAACCAAUGGCCACAACAGUUUGAGGGUGAGGAUAACUGAUGAACGGGGAAGGAGCUAAUAGAUUUUCUAAGUUUGGCUUGUGGUCAUCAUUGCGCAAUUUUAGCAGGCUUAUUGUCAUUAUUUGACAACAUUCUAUGCCAACACAAUUCCAUGAUUUGCACCGCAGGAAUAGGAAGAUGUGAAGUAGGAAUUUCUGGUUCCCCACCCACCACUCCAUCAUUCCCCCCCCCCCCCCCUUAGGGUUUCUCUGUAUAGCCCUGGCUGUCCUGGAACUCACUCUGUAGACCAGGCUGGCCUCGAACUCAGAAAUCUGCCUGCCUCUGCCUCCCAAGUGCUGGGAUUAAAGGCAUGUGUCACCAUGCCCGGCUCAAUUUCUGUUUUGUUUUUUUUUUUGUUUUUUUUUGGAGUCUCUGUUGUGUCAUGUGAUGUUUUGUGAUUUUUUUUUUUUCUGGAAACUGUCUUAUGAGAGGAUGAUGUUUUUGCUUAAGCAGACAAGUGAGAGGAUGUUUUUGCUGAAGCAGAUGUGUGGGAGGAUGGUUUGCCGGGAACAGACACGUGGAGUUUUGCUGGAAGCCACCCGGAAAAAGGACAUGUCAUGUUUUUGUUAGAUCGGACACUUGAGAGAACACCUGAUGUUUGGAAAGGAUAAAUAUAGCCCAGAUGAUGCUGUAUGGUAUUGGUACGCCUUGCCGUGCUUGUGAUCAUCUUUUGCAUGACUUCACAGAGGGAAACUUCUGGUGGUAGUCUAGUGGCUUCUUGCCACUUCCACAGACUUGGGCUGAUGGCAGAGCCUCAAAGUUUCUUGGAUCAACCUGCCACUGCUGGUUUGUGAAUGGUGUUUUUGAGUCCUGCUUUUGCUGAUUCCUGAAUGACAUUUGUGAGUGGAUUGAGCUGCCACUACUGGUUAGUGUGGACUGAAUUAUUAAUAUCCUGACAACACAGAUUGGAUUUGCUUCAAAAAACUAUUUCUAAGCAGGUCCAUAUGCUUCUUUGCUCUAUUUAUUAAGUUUUCCUUUCCAUUACCUCUGGUGGGUGGUGAACUAGGAGGUAGGUGAAAGCAUUUAAGAACCCUUAUUAAAAUUAGGUUUUGAAAAAUCUAAGCCUACAAAAAUGUGUUGUUAUAGAAAUUCUAGGUUGUUGUAGAAAUUUUCUCAUUUUCUAGCUCAAAAUUAUAGACCAACUUCAAAGGUGCAAGAGCAGAAUUUCAUUGUGUGUUUAGAAGAAACAAGAAACAAUGUUUGAGAAGCAAAUAAGGACAUGAGGAGUACAGUUUAUUCUGACUUUUUACUUUGUUUUAUUCUUUGAGGGAUUUGACACCUAUUAAAGUCUGACUCUAUUAUAUCUUGCUUAAUUAGUACAAAACUUGAAGCUCAUGGUUAUAGGUUUUAUUACAUUAACCGUGACUCCUUUUGUGUCUUUGGAAGUCGGAGUACCAGUUUUCUUAAAUUAAAUGUUUGUUCUAACUUUAUAUUCAUUGUUUAGUUUCAAACCCUGGGAUGAGGGAUGAACGGGGUCACUGGCGUGGCUGCAAAGCAACUUCUCUCAGGUUUGGCACCAUAUGAUAGGUUAUUUCUCUGCUGUUGGGGUUUGAGAAUCGCCACUCAAACCAUAUAAGCACUGACCUCAGUUAAGCAAGAAUAGUUUAUUGAACAAACACCUUAAACUGAAUGAUCAGGACUGCAGAAAGAACUCAGAAACCUAAUUUUGGUAGUAGUCUGCUCUUAGGGUAGGUUUUUUUUUUUUUUUUUAAAUAGGAAAAACCAGGUUCAAAGGUUUAAAGGGAAAGGAGGGGGGAACAUUUGGUUGACUAGGCAAAAUAUUACCAGCUGAUCGUUAGGAAUUUCCUGUGACUGGCAGGCAUGUUACAGCAAGAAUAUGAAAUAGCUGGCAGGCAUGGGUCAAAAUGGCUACAGCUAUUCUGUGGGUGGGUGUCAGUCCAUUACAUCUGCUGCUACUGGUGAAAUGAGCCAAUUCAAGUCAGAUUAGGCAGGUUUAUUGGGAAACUGCUCUCCAGAGAGUGAGUUCACUGGCCCUAAAGAAGGAGGCCAAGGAUGUCACCAUGGGGGUGGGGG
rnacentral:lncRNA from 1 species